AGUUUGAUCCUGGCUCAGGAUGAACGCUGGCGGCGUGCCUAAUACAUGCAAGUCGAACGAAUCUCUUUUAGAGAUGAGUGGCGAACGGGUGAGUAAUACAUAGGUAACCUGCCCCUGUGCGGGGGAUAACAGGAGGAAACUCCUGCUAAUACCGCAUAGCCAUGAGCACCGCAUGGAGCUCAUGCCAAAUAUCCUUUCGGGGAUAGCGCAGGGAUGGACCUAUGGCGCAUUAGCUGGUUGGCGGGGCAACGGCCCACCAAGGCAACGAUGCGUAGCCGGCCUGAGAGGGCGGACGGCCACAUUGGGACUGAGACACGGCCCAGACUCCUACGGGAGGCAGCAGUAGGGAAUUUUCGGCAAUGGGGGAAACCCUGACCGAGCAACGCCGCGUGAGCGAAGAAGGCCUUCGGGUCGUAAAGCUCUGUUGUAAAGGAAGAACGGCGCAUACAGGAAAUGGUAUGCGAGUGACGGUACUUUACCAGAAAGCCACGGCUAACUACGUGCCAGCAGCCGCGGUAAUACGUAGGUGGCGAGCGUUAUCCGGAAUCAUUGGGCGUAAAGAGGGAGCAGGCGGCCGCAAGGGUCUGUGGUGAAAGACCGAAGCUAAACUUCGGUAAGCCAUGGAAACCGGGCGGCUAGAGUGCGGAAGAGGAUCGUGGAAUUCCAUGUGUAGCGGUGAAAUGCGUAGAUAUAUGGAGGAACACCAGUGGCGAAGGCGACGGUCUGGGCCGCAACUGACGCUCAUUCCCGAAAGCGUGGGGAGCAAAUAGGAUUAGAUACCCUAGUAGUCCACGCCGUAAACGAUGGUCACUAAGUGUCGGGGGUCAAACCCCGGUGCUGCAGUCAACGCAAUAAGUGACCCGCCUGAGUAGUACGUUCGCAAGAAUGAAACUCAAAGGAAUUG
rnacentral:rRNA from 1 species